GAUGAACGCUGGCGGCGCAUUUAAGACAUGCAAGUCGAACGAAAAUUUACGCUUUACGAGUUAAUUGAUUUAUCAAGAGGCAAGUAAUUGUAAAUUUUAGUGGCGGACGAGUGAGUAAUACAUAGAUAAUCUGCCUUCUAGAGGGAAAUAACAGUGAGAAAUCAUUGCUAAUACCGCAUAUGCUCACAGUAUCACAUGAUACAGUGAGGAAAGGAGUAAUCCACUGAUAGAUGGGCUUGCGUCUGAUUAGCUAGUUGGUGGGGUAACGGCCUACCAAGGCGACGAUCAGUAGCCGGACUGAGAGGUUGAACGGCCACAUUGGGACUGAGAUACGGCCCAG
rnacentral:rRNA from 1 species